rnacentral:rRNA from 1 species
UACAGAGGUCCCAAGCGUUGUUCGGAUUCACUGGGCGUAAAGGGUGCGUAGGUGGCCAGGUAAGUUCGGUGUGAAAGCUCGGAGCUUAACUCCGAAAUGGCAUUGAAUACUAUCUGGCUAGAGGGUCGGAGGGGAGACUGGAAUUCUCGGUGUAGCAGUGAAAUGCGUAGAUAUCGAGAGGAACACCAGUGGCGAAAGGCGAAGUCUCUGGGACGACGCCUGACACUGAGGCACGAAAGCCAGGGGCAGCAAACAGG